CCUACGGGAGACAGCAGUAGGGAAUAUUGCUCAAUGGGGGAAACUCUGAAGCAGCCACGCCGCGUGGAGGAUGACGGUUUUAGGAUUGUUAACUCCUUUUGUGAGAGAAGUUAAUGGCGGUAUCUCUCGAAUAUGCACCGUCUAACUCCGGGCCAGCAGCGGUGGUACUACGGCGGAUGCCAGCGUUACUCGGAAUCACCGGGCGUAAUGGGUGCGCAGGCGGGCUUGUAAGUCAGAUGUGAAAUCCUGUAGCUUAACUACAGAACUGCAUUUGAAACUAUGAGUCUAGAGUGUGGGAGAGGUAGGUGGAAUGCAUGGUGUAGGGGUAAAAUGCGUAGAUAUCAAGAAGAAUACUCAUUGCGAAGGCAGCCUACUGGAACAUUACUGACGCUCAUGCACGAAAGCGUGGGGAGCAAACAGGAUUAGAUACCCUUGUAGUC
rnacentral:rRNA from 1 species